UACGUAGGGUGCAGGCGUUAAUCGGAAUUACUGGGCGUAAAGCGUGCGCAGGCGGUUUCUUAAGUCAGAUGUGAAAGCCCCGGGCUUAACCUGGGAACUGCAUUUGUGACUGUAGAGCUGGAGUGCGGCAGAGGGGGAUGGAAUUCCGCGUGUAGCAGUGAAAUGCGUAGAUAUCGGGAGGAACACCAGUGGCGAAGGCGGCUUUCUGGUCUGCUCUUGACGCUGAGGCGCGAAAGCUAGGGUAGCAAACGGG
rnacentral:rRNA from 1 species